GGCGGCACGCCUAAUACAUGCAAGUCGAACGAAGUAGCAAUACUUAGUGGCAGACGGGUGAGUAACAUGUGGGUAUCUUCCCUUUGGUGAGGAAUAACACGAGGAAACUUGUGCUAAUACCUCAUAAGUCUUUACGGAGAAAGCUUUAUGCGCCAAUGGAUGAGCCUGCACUUGAUUAGUUUGUUGGUGGGGUAAUGGCCUACCAAGACUUUGAUCAAUAGCUGAUUUGAGAGGAUGAUCAGCCACAUUGGGACUGAGACACGGCCCAAACUCCUACGGGAGGCAGCAGUAGGGAAUCUUGCACAAUGGAGGAAACUCUGAUGCAGCGAUGCCGCGUGAGUGAAGAAGGCCCUUGGGUUGUAAAGCUCUUUCGUCGGGGAAGAAAAUGACUGUACCCGAAUAAGAAGGUCCGGCUAACUUCGUGCCAGCAGCCGCGGUAAUACGAAGGGACCUAGCGUAGUUCGGAAUUACUGGGCUUAAAGAGUUCGUAGGUGGUUAAAAAAGUUGGUGGUGAAAUCCCAGAGCUUAACUCUGGAACUGCCAUCAAAACUUUUUAGCUAGAGUAUGAUAGAGGAAAGCAGAAUUUCUAGUGUAGAGGUGAAAUUCGUAGAUAUUAGAAAGAAUACCAAUUGCGAAGGCAGCUUUCUGGAUCAUUACUGACACUGAGGAACGAAAGCAUGGGUAGCGAAGAGGAUUAGAUACCCUCGUAGUCCAUGCCGUAAACGAUGUGUGUUAGAUGUUGGAAAUUUAUUUUCAGUAUCGCAGCGAAAGCAAUAAACACACCGCCUGGGGAGUACGACCGC
rnacentral:rRNA from 1 species